rnacentral:rRNA from 1 species
GAUCCUGGCUCAGGACGAACGCUGGCGGCGUGCCUAACACAUGCAAGUCGAACGGACGAGGAGGAGCUUGCUUCUCCAAGUCAGUGGCGGACGGGUGAGUAACGCGUGAGUAACCUGCCCCUUCAGAGGGGGAUAACGUCUGGAAACGGACGCUAAUACCGCAUGACAUAUUUCCAUCGCAUGGUGGAGAUAUCAAAGGAGCAAUCCGCUGAAGGAUGGACUCGCGUCCGAUUAGA